GCCGGGAAGAAGAACCAACAAAAAGAGGCAAUGUGGGAGAGAAGAUGUGCCUUCGAGGAGUGCAAGGUCGCUCUUGAGGGGAAAAAGAGGAGGGACGAGAAGACCCCCGAGGAGGACCGGUUCUUGAUGACGAAUCCGAAUGGCAUGGAACCGAUGGAAAGGGAGUUUGGGGAGUUGAAAAGAAUGGAGAUCAUGUUUCGGAGGAGACAAGAGCUUAAACAUCUCAUGGCCGGUGGUGGUAGUGAUGCUUUCGGCAAUAGAGGCGGUGGUGGUGACGCUUCUGGCAAUGGAGUUGGUGGUGCUUCGGCCAAUGGAGGUGAUGGU
rnacentral:rRNA from 1 species